rnacentral:rRNA from 1 species
GACGAACGCUGGCGGCGUGCUUAACACAUGCAAGUCGAACGAUGAACUUGGAGCUUGCUCUGGGGGAUUAGUGGCGAACGGGUGAGUAACACGUGAGUAACCUGCCCUGGACUCUGGGAUAACUUCGAGAAAUCGGAGCUAAUACCGGAUAGGACCUUGCACCGCAUGGUGUGGGGUGGAAAGUUUUUCGGUUUGGGAUGGACUCGCGGCCUAUCAGCUUGUUGGUGAGGUAAUGGCGCACCAAGGCGUCGACGGGUAGCCGGCCGGAGAGGGUGACCGGCCACACUGGGACUGAGACACGGCCCAGACUCCUACGGGAGGCAGCAGUGGGGAAUAUUGCACAAUGGGCGCAAGCCUGAUGCAGCAACGCCGCGUGCGGGAUGACGGCCUUCGGGUUGUAAACCGCUUUUAGUAGGGAAGAAGCCUUCGGGUGACGGUACCUGCAGAAAAAGGACCGGCUAACUACGUGCCAGCCGCCGCAGUAAGAC